AUUCUAAAAGGUCUGCUGAACACCAACCACGCACUAGGGACAAUGACAUGGAGGAACAGGAUGACCAGGUGAGUAUCAAGUUGGCACUAGUGUUUGAUCGAUGUAGGGUUUUUAAAUUGGUUUUCGUUUGUCCAAUGUAGUAAUUUCUUAUACGUUUUUCAAUGUAGGGCGUCGAACAAUUCCGUGUAGUAAAACAUCAGAAACGGAAGGCGUCCACACAUGUUGUAGUUUGAGGGGCAGACGCUUCAUCUUCUGCAGCAGCUAAUGAGGUAGUUUUUAGUUGUAUUUUUUUUGUCAUUCCACUUUUUCGCUUGAUAUGUGUGUAUAUCUAGUUCCUUUUUCUCAUAGCACAUGUACUUUUAGUUUUUGUCUACAAAGUCAGACAAUAUACCUAUUUGUGUAGUUUUUUCAUAGUGUACAGCAAAAAAUUAUGUGUUUAAUAGCAUGAUUUAAUAGUACGGCAGUGUUCUACUCAUUUAGUUGCACAAUUUUUUCAUGGGGAGUAUCCAGUUUCUGUCUCUUUUUUUGCACAUCAUAGUUCAAUGAGUUGCACAUAAGUGUUUUGCCGGUUGCACAGUGGAUGUAUCAAAGUUGGCAACCAGCAAACUGAGCAUUAUAUCUUUGUGUUUUUUCCUCAUAGUUGCACAAGAUUAUAACAUAGUUUGGCAGUGCUUACUCAUUUACUUGCACAAGGCAAACUCAAAUUUUUGGGAUAGUCAUUGCAGAAACUCCUUUUUCUGACAGUUGCACAAGAUUAUAGCAUAGUUGGCAGUGCUUAGUCAUCUAGUUGCGCAAGGGACAGUGAAGUUUUUGGCAGUUCUUAGUUCUUACUGAAAACAUUUGGUUCACCUAUUCUUCUACAUAGUUUUAUUUUUUAAAAUAUCAAAUGAAGGGGAAUCACCGGCCUUUUUUAGUUGGCAUGGUUAGUUAUAUACUUGCACAAGUUUUCACUCAAUUGUUCUUUUUUUAUACCCAGGAUGUCAACGCAGAAGUUGAGAUGAAUGAAGGAGAGAAUCCAGACUGCCCGUCACAGCCUGGUAGGAUAAGGGCGUCCCCGGGGAGAUUUGUCAAGUUGAAUAAAGAAUUGACUCCAAUGCAAGGAGCAAAUUUGUGUGAGAGGCUAUUCGGGGGGUCUUCUGAACGUAGCUGAGACAUUGCCUACGGAGCUGACCAAGUACCUAGUGCAGUGCUACAAACCAAAAACUUCAGAAACCACAGCCGUCACAAUUGCACAUGUUUGCUAGUAUAGUUGGUACAUCGAGGCUUCUCUAGUUGCACAUAGUAUGCAAAAGUUGGCACAUGAAGGUUUUCACCUAGUUUCACAUGUUUUUGCUGGUUUUAUGGUCCAUCAAUCUUCUGUCUUUUUCACCCCCAAAAUUGCACAUACUAUGCAAAAGAUGGUACAGGAGUUCAUACAUAACACAUAGUAAAGGGGGGCCUGUUGGCUUUAGUGCUU
rnacentral:lncRNA from 1 species